GCUUCGGUGGUCUAAUGGUUAUGAUCGAACCCUGUCACGGUUCAGAUCCGGGUUCAAUUCCCGGCCGAGGCG
rnacentral:tRNA from 1 species